UCUGGUAGUUAUAGCGGAGAAGUCACACCUGUUCCCAUGCCGAACACAGCAGUUAAGCUCUCCAGCGCCGAUGGUAGUUGGGACUUUGUCCCUGCAAGAGUAGGACGCCGCCAGGC
rfam:Virgibacillus sp. LM2416 chromosome, complete genome.